rnacentral:rRNA from 1 species
AACGAACGCUGGCGGCAGGCCUAACACAUGCAAGUCGAGCGAGGACUUCGGUUCUAGCGGCGGACGGGUGAGUAACGCGUGGGAAUGUGCCCUUCUCUACGGAAUAGCCCUGGGAAACUGGGAGUAAUACCGUAUACGCCCUAUUGGGGAAAGAUUUAUCGGAGAAGGAUCAGCCCGCGUUGGAUUAGGUAGUUGGUGGGGUAAUGGCCUACCAAGCCGACGAUCCAUAGCUGAUUUGAGAGGAUGAUCAGCCACACUGGGACUGAGACACGGCCCAGACUCCUACGGGAGGCAGCAGUGGGGAAUCUUAGACAAUGGGGGCAACCCUGAUCUAGCCAUGCCGCGUGAGUGAUGAAGGCCUUAGGGUUGUAAAGCUCUUUCAGCUGGGAAGAUAAUGACGGUACCAGCAGAAGAAGCCCCGGCUAACUCCGUG